rnacentral:rRNA from 1 species
GAGCCAGACUCCUACGGGAGGCAGCAGUGAGGAAUAUUGGUCAAUGGACGCAAGUCUGAACCAGCCAUGCCGCGUGCAGGAUGACGGCUCUAUGAGUUGUAAACUGCUUUUGUACGAGGGUAAACCCCGAUACGUGUAUCGGGUUGAAAGUAUCGUACGAAUAAGGAUCGGCUAACUCCGUGCCAGCAGCCGCGGUAAUACGGAGGAUCCGAGCGUUAUCCGGAUUUAUUGGGUUUAAAGGGUGCGCAGGCGGAGGUGCAAGUCAGUGGUCAAAUUGCGGGGCUCAACCCCGUACUGCCGUUGAAACUGCAUCCCUUGAGUGCGCGAGAGGUAUGCGGAAUGCGUGGUGUAGCGGUGAAAUGCUUAGAUAUCACGAAGAACCCCGAUUGCGAAGGCAGCUUACUAAACUGUGACUGACAUUGAUGCUCGAAAGUGUGGGUAUCAAACAGGAUUAGAUACCCCUGUA